CUCAUGCUGCACAGAAGUUAAUAUACUUGAAUAAGGAUCUACACAAAGGAAUGUGAGCUGGAGGGGUAGCUGUCUCCUGCAUGGGUGAAAAAGAAGUGGGAGAACCAAAAAUACACGGAGUUGAAAGAUCCCCCCACCGGAGACAGCACGGAGGGAGGGGUGGCCACAGCAGCAUACUUGAAGUGGUAUGCGGUGAUGGAUGAGGUGAUGGAUGAGGUGAUGCCACUCAAUCACCCCACUGGUCAUCAUCUCCUCCUCUCCCUCCCAGAUGUGGAGGCAGGAGAAGGAUGUGACUGCCAGGGAGGCACGCUUUAUGGCCAUUUGAGGCCAUGAUAAAGAAGUCGUUUUAUGUAUUUUGUAUGUAUUUUAUUCAUAGCUAUUCAUUUAUGAAUGUUCUACUGUUUUUGGUGAAGU